GGAUUGUGGCUCAGCGGUAGAGCACACGCCUAGCACGGGCGGGACCCGGAGUUCGAUCCUCAGCACCA
rnacentral:tRNA from 1 species